GUGCUCACUUCAGCAGCACAUAUGCUAAAACUGGAACGAUACAGAGAAGAUCAGCAUGGCCCCUGCACAAGGAUGACACACAGAUUCGUGAAGCGUUCCAUAUUUUU
ensembl:snRNA U6 U6 spliceosomal RNA